rnacentral:rRNA from 1 species
ACGGUCCUAAGGUAGCGAAAUUCCUUGUCAGGUAAGUUCUGACCCGCACGAAAGGAGUAAUGAUUUGGGCACUGUCUCAACAAUGUACCCGGCGAAAUUGUAGUACUAGUGAAGAUGCUAGUUACCUGCGACAAGACGGAGAGACCCCAUGGAGCUUUACUAUAGCCUGAUAUUGGGCUUUGGUAUCUUAUGUACAGGAUAGGUGGGAGACUAUGAGAUUAAGACGCAAGUCUUAAAGGAGUCAACCUUGGAAUACCACCCUUAAGAUAUUAGAGUUCUAACUUGUGAUCAUAAACUGGUCAGAGGACAUUGUCAGGUGGGUAGUUUGACUGGGGCGGUCACCUCCUAAAGAGUAACGGAGGUGCGCAAAGGUUUCCUCGGCACGGUCAGAAAUCGUGCUAAUGAGUGUAAAGGCAUAAGGAAGCUUAACUGAGAGAGAGACAUCUCGACCAGAUACGAAAGUAGGUCUUAGUGAUCCGGUGGUAGAAAAUGGAAUUGCCAUCGCUCAACGGAUAAAAGUUACCCUGGGGAUAACAGGCUUAUCUCCCCCAAGAGUUCACAUCGACGGGGAGGUUUGGCACCUCGAUGUCGGCUCAUCGCAUCCUGGGGCUGUAGUCGGUCCCAAGGGUUGGGCUGUUCGCCCAUUAAAGCGGUACGCGAGCUGGGUUCAGAACGUCGUGAGACAGUUCGGUCCCUAUCUGUCGCAGGCGCAGGAUAUUUGAAAGGAGCUGUCCUUAGUACGAGAGGACCAGGAUGGACAUACCAAUGGUGCAACAGUUGUCACACCAGUGGCACAGCUGUGUAGCUAAGUAUGGAAGGGAUAAACGCUGAAAGCAUCUAAGCGUGAAGCCCCCCUUAAGAUAAGAUAUCCCACAACGUCAAGUUGGUAAGAUUCCAGUUAGACUAACUGGUUGAUAGGUUAGAGGUGUAAGUGUGGUGACACAUUUAGCUGACUAAUACUAAUAAUCGAGGGCUUAACCAA